rnacentral:rRNA from 1 species
GAACGCUGGCGGCGUGCCUAAUACAUGCAAGUAGAACGCUGAAGAGAGGAGCUUGCUCUUCUUGGAUGAGUUGCGAACGGGUGAGUAACGCGUAGGUAACCUGCCUUGUAGCGGGGGAUAACUAUUGGAAACGAUAGCUAAUACCGCAUAACAAUGGAUGACACAUGUCAUUUAUUUGAAAGGGGCAAUUGUUCCACUACAAGAUGGACCUGCGUUGUAUUAGCUAGUAGGUGAGGUAAUGGCUCACCUAGGCGACGAUACAUAGCCGACCUGAGAGGGUGAUCGGCCACACUGGGACUGAGACACGGCCCAGACUCCUACGGGAGGCAGCAGUAGGGAAUCUUCGGCAAUGGGGGCAACCCUGACCGAGCAACGCCGCGUGAGUGAAGAAGGUUUUCGGAUCGUAAAGCUCUGUUGUAAGUCAAGAACGGGUGUGAGAGUGGAAAGUUCACACUGUGACGGUAGCUUACCAGAAAGGGACGGCUAACUACGUGCCAGCAGCCGCGGUAAUACGUAGGUCCCGAGCGUUGUCCGGAUUUAUUGGGCGUAAAGCGAGCGCAGGCGGUUUGAUAAGUCUGAAGUUAAAGGCUGUGGCUCAACCAUAGUUCGCUUUGGAAACUGUCAAACUUGAGUGCAGAAGGGGAGAGUGGAAUUCCAUGUGUAGCGGUGAAAUGCGUAGAUAUAUGGAGGAACACCGGUGGCGAAAGCGGCUCUCUGGUCUGUAACUGACGCUGAGGCUCGAAAGCGUGGGGAGCGAACAGGAUUAGAUACCCUGGUAGUCCACGCCGUAAACGAUGAGUGCUAGGUGUUGGAUCCUUUCCGGGAUUCAGUGCCGCAGCUAACGCAUUAAGCACUCCGCCUGGGGAGUACGACCGCAAGGUUGAAACUCAAAGGAAUUGACGGGGGCCCGCACAAGCGGUGGAGCAUGUGGUUUAAUUCGAAGCAACGCGAAGAACCUUACCAGGUCUUGACAUCCCGAUGCUAUUUCUAGAGAUAGAAAGUUACUUCGGUACAUCGGUGACAGGUGGUGCAUGGUUGUCGUCAGCUCGUGUCGUGAGAUGUUGGGUUAAGUCCCGCAACGAGCGCAACCCCUAUUGUUAGUUGCCAUCAUUCAGUUGGGCACUCUAGCGAGACUGCCGGUAAUAAACCGGAGGAAGGUGGGGAUGACGUCAAAUCAUCAUGCCCCUUAUGACCUGGGCUACACACGUGCUACAAUGGUUGGUACAACGAGUUGCGAGUCGGUGACGGCGAGCUAAUCUCUUAAAGCCAAUCUCAGUUCGGAUUGUAGGCUGCAACUCGCCUACAUGAAGUCGGAAUCGCUAGUAAUCGCGGAUCAGCACGCCGCGGUGAAUACGUUCCCGGGCCUUGUACACACCGCCCGUCACACCACGAGAGUUUGUAACACCCGAAGUCGGUGAGGUAACCUUUUGGAGCCAGCCGCCUAAGGUGGGACAGAUGAUUGGGGUGAAG